CUGGGAUGCAGGCGCGGCGGGGACUGGCAGCAAUCAUGCCCUGGGAGCUCAUGUAGAGCUUUGGAUAAUGCUUUUGCAAGUUGUACGAGAAGGGAAGUUCUCGGGGUUUCUGACCUCCUACAGCCUCCUCUUGCCUCGGGCUGCCCAGAUCUUGGCGGCUGAGGCUGGCUUACCUUCGAGCCGUUCCUUCAUGGGAUUUGCUGCUCCCUUCACCAACAAGCGAAAGGCUUACUCGGAGCGUAGAAUCAUGGGGUAAGCAUUCUCUGCCUUGCAUCCUUGCACUUCCCCUUUCCCUCCAAAUAACCCUGUCCAGGCAAGAAUGUCAGGGUAUCAUCGGUGGGCAAGAUUCAUCCCUAGCCAUCCCCCUCCCCAGCUACAAUACUGAUCCUCAGUCCUCCCCUGCCACCCUCCCGACCUUAAUUUCUCCCUUCUUGGUUGCUGUGCAUGUGCUUAAGUGAAAUGAGACUAGGGUUGGACUAUACUUUAAGACAACAGGGCGUGCUGGGUGCGGUGGCUCAUGCCUGUAAUCCCAGGACUUUGGGAGGCUGAGGCGGGCCGAUCGUUUUAGGUCAGGAGUUCGAGACCAGCCUGGCCAACAUGGUGAAACCCUGUCUCCACUAAAAAAAAACCACACACACACAAGAAUCAGCCUGGCACGGUGGCGGGCGCCUUUAAUCCCAGCUACUUGGGAGGCUGAGGCAGGAUAAUC
rnacentral:sRNA from 1 species